rnacentral:rRNA from 1 species
GCUUAUGGCCAUACCACCCUGAACCCAUCUGAUCUCGGAAGCUAAGCAGGGUCGGUCCUGGUUAGUACUUAAAUGGGAGACCCCCUGGGAAUACCAGGUGUGGUGAGCU